GGCUGGUAGGUCGCUGUUGCUUCAGGGGAGGGAGAAAGAGAGGGGCAAGGUGCAGGAAGAUUGGUGUGUUGCAAAUGCAUUUGCAGGAGGACUGGAGUGGCAGUUGGGGUGCAAAUACAUCAGCAGAGCCUGACCAGUUCUGCUGUCAAUACAUUUGCACUGCACCAGCCUCCCUGCACCUUGUCUCUCUCCUUCUGCCUCCUGGCAAUAAUGACUCACCUGC